rnacentral:piRNA from 1 species
UCAAAUGUUACAAUGUGUCGCUGUCCUUC